CAGAGAUCACUGAUGACGUAGACCUCAUGUGACCAGGAGUCGACGUGUGCAGAAGUCCUGCUAGUCUGGUCCUUGUUCCCUUCUGGGUACCAGCUUCCUUCAGCAGCGGUAGCCGGUGGGGCCAACGGUGGGGAAGGAGAAGGAGUCUACUGGCUGAAAUUUUUCAGGUCUGCUACUCUGAAAAGGCCAGGAAGAAAAGUGAUCGGAUCCGUACAGGAAGAUGAAGGAAAUAUUAUAAAGACCCCUGGGGUGGAGGUGAGCAAAGGAGGGACUGAGGUCAUGGGCCCCUAUGUUCUUCCCCCGCACCCCUCUUCUCCCAGCUUACUCUGUUCUAGGAGGGUCUUGCGUUCUGCCUUGUGUGAGAGAAAUGGUUGAGAAGAACCUUGGAAAAGGCUGGAGGGAGGGACGAGGGAGGUGAGGAGGUGGAAAAUGGAGGUGAGAACGACAGGCUCAGGGGAAACCCUGAUGGCUGACGUAUCCUUCUUGCUUCCUAGAAGUAGUUGUUUUCAAAGAAAAAUAAGUAGAAGAAAAGAAAGGAAGAGG
rnacentral:lncRNA from 1 species